rnacentral:sRNA from 2 species
GUAAAGUGAAACUAGGGUUCCGAUUUUCUCAAGAUUAAGAGGAAAUGUCUGGUCCGAGAGUUUCCGGCUUCGUCGUGACGAGGCUCCACGGAGGGAUAAAAGCCCGGGAGAU